AGAUAAUCUCGGAUUAUUUCCCAGUAGUAGAGGCAGUUUGAUGCUCGGUUCAGAAUUUCUGUUAAACAAAUGGACGAUGUAUAUAUAAAGUCGUGGAUUUCCGUCACUCGACGACGAGGAUUCAGUAGCCUGAUCGAUAGAUUUGUUUUGUUUCUGAUUUGGAUACUCACAGAAUUUAUAUAUAUACACACACCAGUCGAAUCCUUUUUAAAAUGUGUGUGGUAAUGCCAUUCGUUUUCAAUUCUAAGUCUAUUCUGUCAGCGUCUAUAGAGUUCCCAUUUAUCCAAGGAUAUAGAAAACGUCAUUGACACAAAACGGAAUGCACUGGGAUUGAACCUGAGAACACAGGGUUACGAAACAAACUUCUUAAUCAUUCGGUAAUACCGCUCCUAAUCCAUACAUUAGUGUGUGCGUGUGUGUGUGUGUACGUGCGCGCUAGUGAAUGUUUUUGUAUAUAUAAAUAUAUCUAAAUACAUAGAUAUGUACAUGUAUGCAUAUAUAACUAUACAUAUAUAUAUAUAUAUAUGUAUAGUUAUAUAUAAAUAUGCAUAUAUAUAUAUAUAUAUAUAUGUAUAUAUAUAUAUACACAUAUAUACUAUUUUGCUCUUUUACUUGUUUCAGUCAUUUGACUGCGGCCAUGCUGGAGCACCGCCUUUAAUCGAGCAACUCGACCCCAGGACUUAUUCUUUUGUAAGCCCAGUACUUAUUCUAUCGGUCUCUUUUGCCGAACCGCUAAGUAACGGGGACAUAAAAACACCAGCAUCGGUUGUCAAGCAAUGCUAGUGGGACAAACAUAGACACACAAACACACACACACACAUAUAUAUGUAUAUAUAUAUAUAUAUGCAAAUAUAUAUACAUAAUGAUUCACUAGAACCUAGGCACAUGAACACGUAGUGUGCCAGAAAUGGCUGGGUAAGAUAGCAUAGAGUCCAGGGUGAAGAAAACAUCAAUGUAUGUACCAAUUCCAUUUUCCAAAUAUAUGUGCGAUUCUAAGAUUGUUCCCAGCUGUGGUGUAAGUAUACAAAUAUGGAAUAAUUGGCGUUUAAAAUUUACAACAGUUGAAACUGUAGAAUGUUAUUUAUGUAGUCAUAGAUUACACGAUAACAUACAAUCCACCAUCUUCAGAUAAAAUCGGUAAAAUGUCAAACAGGUGGGAUUUCGUACAGGAACUUGGUGAAUCCAACGUCAUUGUAUGCUCUCUUCUAUUGUUAAUUCUUGAAAUUUUGAAAUCUACCUCUGAGGACCGAGCUGUUUGGUAAGUAGCUUGCUUACUAACCACAUGGGGUCAGUCCCAUUGACACCUUCGGCAAGUAUCUCCUACUAUAGCCUCGGGCAAAUCAAAGUUUUGUGAGUGGAUUUGGUAGACGGAAACUGAAAGAAGUCCGUCGUAUAUAUGUAUAUAUAUAUAUAUAUAUAUAUAUAUAUAUAUAUAUAUAUAUACGUAUGUGUGUGUGUGUGUGUGUGUGUGUAUGUAUGUGUGUGUAAAUGUUUGUGUGUCUGUUUUUGUCCUCCAGCAUCACUUGACAACCGAUGCUGGAGUGUUUACGUCCCCGUAACUUUGCGGUUCAGCCUAAAGGUCCGAUAGAAUAAGUACUAGGCUUACAAAGAAUAAGUCCUGGGAUCGAUUUGCUCGACUUAAGGCGGUGUUCCAGCAUGACCGCAGUCAAAUGAUUGAAACAAGUAAAAUAGCAAGGAAUAUAUAUAUAUAUAUAUAUAUAUAUAUAUAUAUAUAUAUAUAUAUAUAUAUAUUUAUAUAUAUACAUAUAUAGAGUAGAAAUAGUAAUAAUUAUUAUUAAGGCGGCAAGCUGGCAGAAACGUUAGCAUGCCGGGUGAAAUGCUUAGCAGUAUUUCGUCUGCCGUUACGUUCUGAGUUCAAAUUCCGCCGUGGUCGACUUGGCCUUUCAUCCUUUCGGGGUCGAUAAAUUAAGUACCAGCUACGCACUGGGGUCGAUAUAAUCGACUUAAUCCGUUUGUCUGUCCUUGUUUGUCCUCUUUGUGUUUAGCCCCUUGUGGGUAGUAAAGAAAUAGGUAUUUCGUCUGCCGUUACGUUCUGAGUUUAAAUUCCGCCGAGGUCGACUUUGCCUUUCAUCCUUUCAAUGUCGAUAAAUUAAGUACCAGUUACGCACUGGGGUCGAUAUAAUCGACUUAAUCCCUUUGUCUGUCUUUGUGCCCUCUAUGUUUAGCCCCUUGUGAGCAAUAAAUAAAUAAGAAACUUAAGCGAGUUGGCAAAAAUGUUGAGCGGCAUUUCUUCCGACUUCAUGUUCCGAGUUCAAAUUCCGCUGAGGUCGACUUUCGGAGGUUGAUGAUAUAAGUACCAGUUUUACAUUGGGUUCGAUGCGAUCCACUAGCUCCCUUCCCACAAAUUUCGGGUGUUGUGCCUAAAGUAUUAUUAUCAUAGUCAUCAUGGAUAUAAUCGUUGUCAUCAUACACAAAUUCAAGUUUACACACAAACACACACAGACACACCAACGCAUGCACAUGUGUGGUAGGAAGCUUCCUUCCCAACUACAUGGUUUUGGGUUCAGUCCCGCUAUGUGGCAACUUGGGCAAAUGUUUUCUACCAUAGCCUCGGGCCAAGUGAGUGGUUUUGUUAAUUGCAUAUAUAUCCAUGUCGAUAUAUAAUUUUGUAAAUAUUAUUCAUAUACUAUUAUUCAUAUAAUAUUAUUCAUGUGGAGGCGCAAUGGCCCAGUGGUUAGGGCAGCGGACUUGCGGUCGGAGGAUCGCGGUUUCGAUUCCCAGACCGGGCGUUGUGUGUGUUUAUUGAGCGAAAACACCUAAAAGCUCCACGAGGCUCCGGCAGGGGAUGGUGGUGAUCCCUGCUGUACUCUUUCACCACUCUAAAAGGCGGUGCUCCAGCAUGGCCGCAGUCAAAUGACUGAAACAAGUACAAAAAAAAAAAAAAAAAAAAAAAAAAAAAUACAUACAUAAGUCGAGAUAAAUAAACAUGAAUAGGGGUUUUUUUACGCUUGUGUGUGCAAGACAUGACAUAGAAACACACACACACACACACACACGUUCGUAUAUACCUUAUCGCAGAAGCAUAAAAGUUUCCUAUAUAUCUCUGCAAUACAUCUAAUAUCAACAUACAUCAAGUAGUAUAAUCUAUAUUAAUAGUGUAUUAUAUAUAAUAUAGUAUGGUAUAUAUAAUAUAGUAUGGUAUAUAUAAUAUAGUAUGGUAUAUAUAAUAUAGUAUGGUAUAUAUAAUAUAAUAUGGUAUAUAUAAUAUAGUAUGGUAUAUAUAAUAUAGUAUGGUUUAUAUAAUAUUGUAUGGUGUAUAUAAUAUAGUAUGGUAUAUGUAAUAUAAUAUGGUAUAUAUAAUAUAGUAUGGUAUAUAUAAUAUAGUAUGGUAUAUGUAAUAUAAUAUGGUAUAUAUAAUAUAGUAUGGUAUAUAUAAUAUAGUAUGGUAUAUAUAAUAUAAUAUGGUAUAUAUAAUAUAGUAUGGUAUAUGUAAUAUAGUAUGGUAUAUGUAAUAUUGUAUGGUUUAUAUAAUAUUGUAUGGUGUAUAUAAUAUAGUAUGGUAUAUAUAAUAUGAUAUGUGAUACACAGAUUGUAUAAAAAUCAUUUCAAAUUUUGGCACAAGGCCAGCAAUUUCGGGGUAGGGUUAAAUUCAUUACAUCGACCCCGGUGUUCAGCUAUUCAGUUGUUUACGUAUAUCAUCGAAUCCGAAAGGAUGAGAGGCAAUGCCAGCCUCGGCGGGACUUGAACUCGGAUCGUCGACUUUAGAGUUUGUAUAAUGCUUUCUACUAUAGGCACAAGGCCUGAAAUUUGGGGGGAGGAGAUUAGUCGAUUACAUCGACCCCGGUGCGUAACUGGUACUUACUUAAUCGACUCCGAAAGGAUAAAAGGCAAAGUCGGCCACGGUGGAAUUUGAACUCAGAUCGUAGAGGUUGUAUGAUUAUUACGCUAGCAGUGAUGUCGAGCCAGAAUCACAUUCCAGGGCCAAAUCGAAACUGGAUAUGGACAAAUUAUGGAAUAGGUAUUUUUGUAAUGUCUAAUGUCUAAUUAACUAUUGGCACUAUAUGUGUGUGUGUGUGUGUGUGCAUUAUGUAUGUAUAUGAGGAGAUACGUAUGUGCGAGUGUGUUCAUGUAUAAUUAACUGUUUGUACUAUAUAUGUGUGUGUGUGCUUGUGUAUGUAUAUGUAUAUAUGUGUAUGCAUGUAUGUAUAUGUGAGUAUGUAUGUAUGUCUAAUUAACUGCUUGUUCUAUAUGUGUGUGUGUGUAUGUAUAUGUAUGUAUAUGAAUAUGUAUGUAUGUCUAAUUAACUGUUUGUACAGUAUAUAUGUGUGUGUGUGAAUGGAUAAUUAUAUAAGUAUACAUAAAAAUAUAUGUUUGUGUACGUGUGUGUGUGUAUGUAUAUGUAUAUAUAUAUAUAUGUACAUAUAUAUAUAUGUAAAUAUAUAUAGGUAGAUAGAUAGAUAAAUAUAUAGACACAUAAAUGUAUAUAUAUAUAUACACAUUUAUGUGUCUAUAUUUAUAUAUCCGUAUAUAUAUAUAUAUAUAUAUAUAUAUAUAUACACACAUAUACGUAUAUAUAUAAACCUAUACAUACACACAUACAUACGUAUGUGUGUAUGUGAGUGUGUCUGCAUAUAUAUACACACACAUAUAUAUGUAUUAUAUAUACCCACAUAUACAUGCAAGAACAUGUAUAUAAAUGUAUGCGCUAAUCGUGGUUUCCAUUUAGCAUUUUAUAUAACACCUCUUCGCAUAUAUAUAUAUAUAUAUACAUAUAUAUAUAUUAUACACAUAGAGACACACACAUACGCAUUUUUUUUCUCUCCUUCUUUCUGUGUUUUUCUCUCUCUGUGUAUCUUUCUGUUGAAGAGCGUAGGCUCGAAACGUUAAAGACUUGUUUUAUUUAUAUUUCCUGAGCGCCAUACUAAUACAAUUGUUCGUUUGUUUUCCACCUGCCUUCGUCUUUUGUUUAUUUUCAUAAAGCUUCCCGUUAUAUAGGUAGAUAGAUAGAUAAUAUAUAACAUAAUAAUAUAUAAACUAUA
rnacentral:lncRNA from 1 species